AUUAUUAACUGAUAACAUCUUAUUAAACUGAAAUAACACGGAGAAGAUCGACAUAGCUCAUGCAAAAGGAUGACACACAAAUCGAUAAAUGGUAUCACAACCAA